rnacentral:lncRNA from 1 species
AACUUUUCAAAAACAUAGCGACCCUUUUGAAUUGAACUCAUAGUUUCAUCAUGAUGUAUGAUGAGUUUUGGCCAUUUGUGGAAGAACAAGCACUUGCUUGUUUGGAACGGUUGGAUUGUCGGCGUUCGAAGAUCUGAGUGUGACUUCUGCAUACGGUGUCCGUUUUGGGCCCAUAAGUACUUUUUGGAAAUGUAGCGAUCCAUUUGUAUUUAAC